rnacentral:rRNA from 1 species
UUGUUAGAUGAAAGCUAUAAGUUUUGUUUAUAAAAUUACUUUAUGGGAAUGUUUUUACUUUUCCAAUAGUUGAUUUUGUAUAAAAUCUGUUAUAUAACUUAAAGACAAAGUUUGUGCCAGCAGUCGCGGUCAUACUGUGUUUAAAAAAUCUGUUUGAAAUUUUAAGGUUUAUGUCUUAUUAUGUUUUUGUAGGUGAAAUUUAAAAACUUUAUUUUGGCUUUCCUGAAAAUUGGUAAUUAAGUAAAGGAAUAGGAUUAGAGACCCUAGUACUCUAAGGUUAUUUUAAAGUAGUACAUGAUGGUUAUUAAACUUAAUUUUUCUGGCGGUCUGUUAUUCUAUCAGAGGAGCUUGUUAAACGUAAUUGAUAACCCGCUUUUAUUUUCACCCUUUUUAAUUUUAUGUACGGCUGUUUAGUUUUGAAGUAUUUAUCAUUACUAUAACUAUUAAAACUAGCUAAGUUCAGGUCAAUGUGUAGAGAAUAAAGGGGGGUUUUAUGAGCUACUUUAGUUGAAUAGUUUUUAGGAAUUUCUUGAAAUUGGAUUUGUAAGUAAAUAACAAAAUUAAACUUGUUAUUGAUUUAGACUCUAACAGAAGCACAUAUCGCCCGUCACUCUUUUGAUAGAUAAGUCGUAACAAAGUAGGGGUACUUGAAGGUGCCCCUUGUUU